GGGGAAUAUUGCACAAUGGGGGAAACCCUGAUGCAGCGACGCCGCGUGGAGGAAGAAGGUCUUCGGAUUGUAAACUCCUGUUGUUGGGGAAGAUAAUGACGGUACCCAACAAGGAAGUGACGGCUAACUACGUGCCAGCAGCCGCGGUAAAACGUAGGUCACAAGCGUUGUCCGGAAUUACUGGGUGUAAAGGGAGCGCAGGCGGGAAGACAAGUUGGAAGUGAAAUCUAUGAGCUCAACCCAUAAACUGCUUUCAAAACUGUUUUUCUUGAGUAGUGCAGAGGUAGAUGGAAUUCCCGGUGUAGCGGUGGAAUGCGUAGAUAUCGGGAGGAACACCAGUGGCGAAGGCGGUCUACUGGGCACCAACUGACGCUGAGGCUCGAAAGCAUGGGUAGCAAACAGGAUUAGAUACCCUGGUAGUCCAUGCCGUAAACGAUGAUUACUAGGUGUUGGGGGAUUGACCCCCUCAGUGCCGCAGUUAACACAAUAAGUAAUCCACCUGGGGAGUACGACCGCAAGGUUGAAACUCAAAGGAAUUGACGGGGGCCCGCACAAGCAGUGGAGUAUGUGGUUUAAUUCGACGCAACGCGAAGAACCUUACCAAGUCUUGACAUCCCUUGACAGACAUAGAAAUAUGUAAUCUCUUCGGAGCAAGGAGACAGGUGGUGCAUGGUUGUCGUCAGCUCGUGUCGUGAGAUGUUGGGUUAAGUCCCGCAACGAGCGCAACCCUUAUGGUCAGUUACUACGCAAGAGGACUCUGGCCAGACUGCCGUUGACAAAACGGAGGAAGGUGGGGAUGACGUCAAAUCAUCAUGCCCUUUAUGACUUGGGCUACACACGUACUACAAUGGCGUUAAACAAAGAGAAGCAAGACCGCGAGGUGGAGCAAAACUCAGAAACAACGUCCCAGUUCGGACUGCAGGCUGCAACUCGCCUGCACGAAGUCGGAAUUGCUAGUAAUCGUGGAUCAGCAUGCCACGGUGAAUACGUUCCCG
rnacentral:rRNA from 1 species